UUUGACGAAGCAUCGCCUAAUACAACCUAUGAAAUCAGACCAAACAAAUUAAUGAAAUUCCACCCUAUUCAACGUUGUGCAGGCCUUAAAGCAAAAGAAACUGUUCAUUUUGGACUAUCACGACCUUUUCCUACCGUUCGUGAACAAAGUGAGGCAGCUCAAGGGGACGACCCUAUACGGGUCGAGGACCCUCUUCUUCUUGACCCCCGACGGGACGUUGAAGCCCCUCGCCAUUGAGCUCACACGGCCACUGUCCGACGACGGCGGGAAGCCACAAUGGAAGCAGGUGUUCACCCCGUCGUGGCACUCCACCGGCAAGUGGCUCUGGCGGCUCGCCAAAGCCCAUGUCCUCGCCCACGACUCUGGAUACCACCAGCUCGUCAGCCACUGGUAACAAAACAAGCCGGUCAUUACAUCUCGACGAGCAGGAAAAAAAAAAAGAGGUAUAGAUCUGAGAAAUGCUAAUUGCUUCGUUCGUCGCAGGUUGCGGACUCAUUCUGCCACGGAACCUUACAUAAUAGCGGCGAACCGGCAACUGAGCGCGAUGCACCCGAUCUACAAGCUGUUGCACCCGCACUUCCGAUACACGAUGGAGAUCAAUGGUCUGGCCCGUGGGUUUCUCAUCAACGGCGAAGGCAUCAUCGAGAGCUCCUUCUCUCU
rnacentral:lncRNA from 1 species